rnacentral:tRNA from 1 species
GGAAAGAUGCCGGAGUGGUCGAUCGGGGCGGUCUCGAAAACCGUUGUACCCUUGCGGGUACCCAGGGUUCGAAUCCCUGUCUUUCCGCCA